CCUACGGGAGGCAGCAGUGAGGAAUAUUGGUCAAUGGACGCGAGUCUGAACCAGCCAAGUAGCGUGAAGGAUGACUGUCCUAUGGGUUGUAAACUUCUUUUAUAUGGGAAUAAAACGUUUCACGUGUGGGAUUUUGUAUGUACCAUAUGAAUAAGGAUCGGCUAACUCCGUGCCAGCAGCCGCGGUAAUACGGAGGAUCCGAGCGUUAUCCGGAUUUAUUGGGUUUAAAGGGAGCGUAGGUGGAUUGUUAAGUCAGUUGUGAAAGUUUGCGGCUCAACCGUAAAAUUGCAGUUGAAACUGGCAGUCUUGAGUACAGUAGAGGUGGGCGGAAUGCGUGGUGUAGCGGUGAAAUGCUUAGAUAUCACGAAGAACUCCGAUUGCGAAGGCAGUUCACUGGACUUCAACUGACACUGAGGCACGAAAGUGUGGGUAUCAAACAGGAUUAGAUACCCGAGUAGUC
rnacentral:rRNA from 1 species